ACUAUUUUGACAGAAAAAAUGUGAUGAUUUUAGAAGUCAUUAAUAUAUAAUUUAUUAUAUAUGUAGUA
rnacentral:tRNA from 1 species